AUUGAACGCUGGCGGCAUGCCUUACACAUGCAAGUCGAACGGCAGCACGGGAGCAAUCCUGGUGACGAGUGGCGAACGGGUGAGUAAUGCAUCGGAACGUACCUUUCAGUGGGGGAUAACGUAGCGAAAGUUACGCUAAUACCGCAUAUUCUGUGAGCAGGAAAGCAGGGGAUCGCAAGACCUUGCGCUGAUUGAGCGGCCGAUGUCAGAUUAGCUAGUUGGUGAGGUAAAGGCUCACCAAGGCGACGAUCUGUAGCGGGUCUGAGAGGAUGAUCCGCCACACUGGAACUGAGACACGGUCCAGACUCCUACGGGAGGCAGCAGUGGGGAAUUUUGGACAAUGGGGGCAACCCUGAUCCAGCCAUGCCGCGUGAGUGAAGAAGGCCUUCGGGUUGUAAAGCUCUUUCGGCCGGGAAGAAAUCGUAUGGGCUAAUACCCUGUGCGGAUGACGGUACCGGCAUAAGAAGCACCGGCUAACUACGUG
rnacentral:rRNA from 1 species